GUGUCAGCCGCCGCGGUAAUACGUAGGGUGCAGGCGUUAAUCGGAAUUACUGGGCGUAAAGCGUGCGCAGGCGGUCUGCUAAGACAGGUGUGAAAUCCCCGGGCUUAACCUGGGAACUGCGCUUGUUACUGGCAGGCUGGAGUGUGGCAGAGGGGGGUGGAAUUCCACGUGUAGCAGUGAAAUGCGUAGAGAUGUGGAGGAACACCGAUGGCGAAGGCAGCCCCCUGGGCUAACACUGACGCUCAUGUACGAAAGCGUGGGGAGCAAACAGGAUUAGAAACCCUAGUAGUCC
rnacentral:rRNA from 1 species